GCUUUUUGCCCUGGAGUAGAUGAUGAGGAUACCCUUAAACUCUUGAAGAUGGGAAGUAUGCCAGAGCUGGAUGCCAGACUGAGCUUGUGAUUCACAUUUUGCUGUACAAAUGUCUUGAACCAAAACUGCAGGGGUCUCCAUUAAGGAAAGAUCGUAUCAAAAAAUAG
rnacentral:lncRNA from 12 species